UACGUAGGGUGCAAGCGUUGUCCGGAAUUAUUGGGCGUAAAGAGCUCGUAGGCGGUCUGUCGCGUCGGCUGUGAAAUCCCGAGGCUCAACCUCGGGCCUGCAGUCGAUACGGGCAAACUGGAGUGUUGCAGGGGGAGACUGGAAUCCUGGUGUAGCGGUGAAAUGCGCAGAUAUCAGGAAGAACACCCGUGGCGAAGGCGGCUCCUCUGGGACGGUACUGACGCUGAGACGCGAAAGCGUGGGAGCGAACAGG
rnacentral:rRNA from 1 species